rnacentral:tRNA from 1 species
GGGGCGGUGGCCGGGGUGCCGGUGGUGUGCGGGGCCGCCCGGCUGCGCGACGGCCGUCCCGGGGUCGCGGGCCUGUCCGCUCCG